CCACAACUGCAACCGCACGUUUUAAGUUUUUAAGCGUUGGAUUAUUACAAUCCGACCACUAAAUUACGGCGAGUCUAAGUAAUCUA
rnacentral:sRNA from 1 species